AGGGUUUGAUCAUGGCUCAGGAUGAACGCUAGCGGCAGGCUUAACACAUGCAAGUCGAGGGGCAGCGCGAUGUAGCAAUACAUUGGCGGCGACCGGCGCACGGGUGCGUAACACGUAUGGAACCUGCCCUGUACUGGAAGAUAACCCGGAGAAAUCCGGACUAAUAUUCCAUAAUAAACGAGGUGGCAUCACCUUGUUUUGAAAGCUCCGGCGGUACAGGAUGGUCAUGCGCACGAUUAGCUAGUUGGUGAGGUAACGGCUCACCAAGGCUACGAUCGUUAGGGGGCCUGAGAGGGUUAUCCCCCACACUGGUACUGAGACACGGACCAGACUCCUACGGGAGGCAGCAGUGAGGAAUAUUGCGCAAUGGAGGCAACUCUGACGCAGCCAUGCCGCGUGCAGGAAGAAGGCGCUACGCGUUGUAAACUGCUUUUAACCGGGAAGAAACCCCAGGACGUGUCCUGGGUUGACGGUACCGGAGGAAUAAGCACCGGCUAACUUCGUGCCAGCAGCCGCGGUAAUACGAAGGGUGCAAGCGUUAUCCGGAUUCAUUGGGUUUAAAGGGUGCGUAGGUGGGGCGUUAAGUCAGUGGUGAAAGCCCGCAGCUCAACUGUGGAAUUGCCAUUGAUACUGGCGCUCUUGAGUGCGCUUGAAGUAGGCGGAAUGUGCCGUGUAGCGGUGAAAUGCUUAGAUAUGGCACAGAACACCAAUUGCGAAGGCAGCUUACUAAGGCGAUACUGACGCUGAGGCACGAAAGCGUGGGGAUCAAACAGGAUUAGAUACCCUGGUAGUCCACGCCGUAAACGAUGAUCACUCGUGAUUGGCGAUAUACGGUCAGUCACCUAGCGAAAGCGUUAAGUGAUCCACCUGGGGAGUACGAUCGCAAGAUUGAAACUCAAAGGAAUUGACGGGGGCCCGCACAAGCGGUGGAGCAUGUGGUUUAAUUCGAUGAUACGCGAGGAACCUUACCAGGCUCGAACGUGCGUUGACAGUCGCGAAACGUGAUCUUCUUCGGACAACGUGCGAGGUGCUGCAUGGCUGUCGUCAGCCUCGUGGCCGUGGAGGGUGUCGGGUUAG
rnacentral:rRNA from 1 species